UUUAUGGAGAGUUUGAUCCUGGCUCAGGAUGAACGCUGGCGGCGUGCCUAAUACAUGCAAGUCGAGCGAACGGACGAGAAGCUUGCUUCUCUGAUGUUAGCGGCGGACGGGUGAGUAACACGUGGAUAACCUACCUAUAAGACUGGGAUAACUUCGGGAAACCGGAGCUAAUACCGGAUAAUAUUUUGAACCGCAUGGUUCAAAAGUGAAAGACGGUCUUGCUGUCACUUAUAGAUGGAUCCGCGCUGCAUUAGCUAGUUGGUAAGGUAACGGCUUACCAAGGCAACGAUGCAUAGCCGACCUGAGAGGGUGAUCGGCCACACUGGAACUGAGACACGGUCCAGACUCCUACGGGAGGCAGCAGUAGGGAAUCUUCCGCAAUGGGCGAAAGCCUGACGGAGCAACGCCGCGUGAGUGAUGAAGGUCUUCGGAUCGUAAAAUUCUGUUAUUAGGGAAGAACAUAUGUGUAAGUAACUGUGCACAUCUUGACGGUACCUAAUCAGAAAGCCACGGCUAACUACGUGCCAGCAGCCGCGGUAAUACGUAGGUGGCAAGCGUUAUCCGGAAUUAUUGGGCGUAAAGCGCGCGUAGGCGGUUUUUUAAGUCUGAUGUGAAAGCCCACGGCUCAACCGUGGAGGGUCAUUGGAAACUGGAAAACUUGAGUGCAGAAGAGGAAAGUGGAAUUCCAUGUGUAGCGGUGAAAUGCGCAGAGAUAUGGAGGAACACCAGUGGCGAAGGCGACUUUCUGGUCUGUAACUGACGCUGAUGUGCGAAAGCGUGGGGAUCAAACAGGAUUAGAUACCCUGGUAGUCCACGCCGUAAACGAUGAGUGCUAAGUGUUAGGGGGUUUCCGCCCCUUAGUGCUGCAGCUAACGCAUUAAGCACUCCGCCUGGGGAGUACGACCGCAAGGUUGAAACUCAAAGGAAUUGACGGGGACCCGCACAAGCGGUGGAGCAUGUGGUUUAAUUCGAAGCAACGCGAAGAACCUUACCAAAUCUUGACAUCCUUUGACAACUCUAGAGAUAGAGCCUUCCCCUUCGGGGGACAAAGUGACAGGUGGUGCAUGGUUGUCGUCAGCUCGUGUCGUGAGAUGUUGGGUUAAGUCCCGCAACGAGCGCAACCCUUAAGCUUAGUUGCCAUCAUUAAGUUGGGCACUCUAAGUUGACUGCCGGUGACAAACCGGAGGAAGGUGGGGAUGACGUCAAAUCAUCAUGCCCCUUAUGAUUUGGGCUACACACGUGCUACAAUGGACAAUACAAAGGGCAGCGAAACCGCGAGGUCAAGCAAAUCCCAUAAAGUUGUUCUCAGUUCGGAUUGUAGUCUGCAACUCGACUACAUGAAGCUGGAAUCGCUAGUAAUCGUAGAUCAGCAUGCUACGGUGAAUACGUUCCCGGGUCUUGUACACACCGCCCGUCACACCACGAGAGUUUGUAACACCCGAAGCCGGUGGAGUAACCUUUUAGGAGCUAGCCGUCGAAGGUGGGACAAAUGAUUGGGGUGAAGUCGUAACAAGGUAGCCGUAUCGGAAGGUGCGGCUGGAUCACCUCCUUUCU
rnacentral:rRNA from 1 species